CGUCGUCACCUGAGUAUAUAAGGUGGCAAAAAUCGCGAGACGAGAGAACUGAUACAUCAGACUUAACUAAAGCGAAUAGUUAGAAUGCGAAUUUGAGCAACACUAAGUGCGAGUAAAACAAGAGUGAGAGGUCAUAUGAGGGCGAGAUUGGCCUAAUCGAAACAGACGAGGUAGAGGAGGCGAGUUUGAUUCAAUCAGAAGCGAGCGAGAAAACAGCAACUACGAAGAAUAGCACGUGGUUCCGAUCCCUGGUCUUGUUAGUCACUAGUCUCGGAAUCGUCGAAAAAACAGACCACAAUAUAUACAUAACAUACACAAAAAACUCUUGUGACAAUUCAAGAUUAUGGACGAACCGAGAUCUGAAAUUCAGUCUUUCUACAAGGAUAAGAUCAUUUUUAUUACCGGCGCCUCCGGUUUCAUGGGCAAAGUUCUCAUUGAAAAAUUACUAUACAGCUGCUCUGAUCUCAGUAAAAUCUAUAUCCUCAUACGAGACAAGAAAGGCAGUUGGGAGGAUCGAUUUAAGGAUAUGUUCAACACACCAUUAUUUCGAAGACUACAGGAACAGAAACCUCAGAAUUUUAAGAAAAUAAUACCACUAAAUGGCGAUAUAUUAUCAGAUAAUUUAGGUCUUACUACCGUGCAGCACGAGUGUCUGAUAAAGGAAGUGAACGUAAUAUUUCAUUUAGCCGCGAGUGUUAGAAUGAAGGAGAAAUUGAAAGACGCUAUCGAAAUAAACACGAUGGGUACGCACAGAGUACUAAAAUUGGCAAAACAAAUGAAGCACUUGCAAAGUUUUGUACAUUUAAGUACGGCUUAUUGCCACGUCGAUCAAGACGAACUUGGCGAACGUAUCUACGAUUCUCCUCAUGAUCCUCAUGAUAUCAUGAGACUCGUUGAAUGGCUGGACGAAGAAGUUAUCGAUCUUAUUACACCUAAAUUAUUAGGUCCGCAUCCAAAUUGUUACACGUAUUCAAAACGUCUUACCGAAACAUUGGUGGCCAAUGAAUACCCUAAUCUUUCGUGUAUUAUUGUUAGACCAUCUAUCGUACUUCCCAUUUUAUUGGAGCCAGUCCCGGGAUGGAUUGAUACUUUAAACGGAGUUGGAGGCAUUCUUGUCGGCGCAGGCAAAGGUGUUAUUAGAUCGAUGCACUGCAUACCAACAUAUUAUGCCGAAAUUAUUCCAGUUGACAUUGCAAUUAAUGCAUUAAUUGUUUUGUCAUAUUUAAGUGGUACCAGCAAAAUAAAAUCAAAAAGCAUACCUGUGUACAACCUAACGCAGGGAAAUAUAAGACCCAUUACAUGGGGUGAAAUGUUACAGAAAUGCAGGAAAGUCACUUAUGAUUAUCCUUUUGAAGGACAGGUUUGGUAUCCGGGUAACAUUAUACGUACCAACAAAUUUGUGCACAACUUAUUUGUUUUUUUCUUUCACAUCAUUCCUGCAUAUUUCAUCGACUUUCUAAUGCUGAUAUUUGGACAGAAGAGAUUUAUGGUCAGAAUUCAAAAGCGAAUUUCAUCCGGGCUUGAAGUAUUGCAAUACUUUACCACGAGGAAUUGGAAAUUUUGUAACGAUAAGGCGAUUGCUAUGGCUGACAAACAAUUACCAGCAGAUCAGAAAAUAUUUCCUUAUGCAAUUCGUCAUUUUGAUGAAGACAAAUACAUUAAGGACAUUAUUCUUGGAUUACGGCAAUACUGUAUGAAGGAAGAUAUAUUUACUUUGCUUAAAGCCCGUCGUCACCAAAAAAUAAUGCAUGUUGUCCAUAUCACGACGGUGUGUCUCUUUUACUUUGGAAUAUUCUAUUGUAUUUACAACAAUUGCGAAAUAGUGAAAAUCUUAGUAAAUUAUGUUAUUGAAAAAGUACUAUCGCUGUUCGCAUGAUCGAAAAGAUACAUGGAAGUUUUGGAUUUGUUAUGUUAUAUAAUAUUAGGCAAUUUGUGGAUUGUUACUCACAAGAAUUCGCUCUACCCACAAGCUAACAGACGCGAGGGACAAGAGGAAAUCGUCCGUCCGCUCCACCCAAUCUUCUCUACUCGGUAGGUAGGUUCUGUCGAGGCGGUGGGGAUAUGCCCACAAGCGAGAACGCGUCCGUGAGCUCACACGAUUCUAAUAAUAAAAAAGGGCAACAUUCUGUCCUUAACAACAUAUUUCAAGCUCAUUAAACUCGAUGAGAAAGCCCCUAAUCUAAAUAAUUACCGUAUUUUUUAAUGUUAAACUUCUUUAAUGUAAUCUUCUAUGUGUUAAAAAAUAAUUUUUAAUAUUACACAAAAAUGUUUUUUGCGUGAGAUCAUCAACAUGUCUUAAUAUAAGUGGAAAUUAUUCAAAAAAGUUAAAUACGAAAUAUAUUAUUUUUGCAUGUGGUAAUAAAAAUGCUCCAUUUAAAAUUAAUUAUACUAGCGGUAAGCGCGUCAACUAGUCACUACCACAGACUUCUAUAGUAUACUAGACCGCUAGCUUCUUAUGUACGGCUGGCUACAAAAUCUAUGUACUUAAGUCGUCAUGGAGGGGGAAGAUGGGAGUACUGAAGAAUGCAAGAUGGCCGUCAUGUUUGACACAUAGCAUAUAAGAAAUAGACUGCGCGUCUCGUAUCUUUUCUGUGCAGAAAGAAUGGUCAAACUUCGGACGAGGAUAGAUGCUUUCACCCGAGUCUCUAUCCUUGUUUAGUGACGCGGUGAUUGGCGGACAAGAAAAGUAGUAGGAAUGAGAAAUAGCGUAGUGGGGCAAUAGAGGAGCAUCGAGCGAUGAAGGGGCGACAGUAGGCGAUUGACAGCAUAGACAUUCUAUGGAGUUGUCUUCCGAGUGGGGAGUCCCCACUCCAGGUGCUGAAAGACAGAGACAGAGACUCGGGUGAAAGCAUCUGUCUCACUCCGAAGUUUGACUCACUUNCCCUCUCACACGCGCAGUCUAUUUCUUAUACGUCUAUGGUUUGACAGCUGAUUGAGUUGUAAGGUUUUUUUCUUUGUCUGCCUUAUUUCGGCAGCGAAAAACACAACAAUAUUUUGGCAUAUUGGUUUUUGUUUCUUUUAAUGUGUGCUUUAUGCCGUCAACCGCCAUAUAACCUUCACUAUGCUGAACUGCUGAAUUGCUAUCUGCGCAUGCAUCGUCGCGCACGUACAUAAGUAUAUAGACAAUGAUUGGAUGAACUCUCCUUAUCGUCAAAAUCAACCAAUAAAACCCGCAUUCCACAGUACCCCCAUUGUACAUAGAUUUUGUAGCCAUUAUCUACGCUGAAAUCACGCGAGCUAGCGGUCUAUUGUAGUAUAUAGAAGUCUGUGGUCACUACUCUUAGGAUAUAUUCCGUUUCAUGCAUAUGCGCGCAUUUAUCUAUAGUACACAUUAUGUAGGCCUGUUCUACAAUACAGUCGUAAGU